UACAGAGGGUGCAGGCGUUAUUCGGAAUUAUUGGGCGUAAAGGGUACGUAGGCGGCGACCAGAGCUUAGCGAGAAAUGCUGGGGUUAUAACCGUAGAAGAUUGCUUUAAGACUAGUUGGCUAAAAAGAGUUAAUAUCGGGUCGGAGGAAUUUCUGGCGGAGGGGUAAAAUCCAGCGAUUCCAGAAAGAAUGCCAAGAGUGAAGACAUCCCUCUAGAGUUAACUGACGCUGAGGUACGGAAGCAUAGGGAUCAAACAGG
rnacentral:rRNA from 1 species